rnacentral:rRNA from 1 species
GGUGAGUAACGCGUAUGCAACCUACCUUUGGCACGGGGACAGCCCGGGGAAACCCGGAUUAAUACCCGGUAUAGUCUAUUAUACACCUGUAUAAAAGACGAGAGCUACGGCGGCCAAAGAUGGGCAUGCGUGCCAUUAGUUAGUUGGUAGGGUAACGGCCUACCAAGGCAUCGAUGGCUACGGGGUCUAAAAGGAUGAGCCCGCACACUGGUACUGAGACACGGACCAGACUCCUACGGGAGGCAGCAGUGAGGAAUAUUGGUCAAUGGGUGGAAGCCUGAACCAGCCAUGCCGCGUGCAGGAAGACGGCCUUAUGGGUUGUAAACUGCUUUUCUACGGGACGAACGGCUCUGACGUGUCAGAGAUUGACGGUACCGUAGGAAUAAGCAUCGGCUAACUCCGUGCCAGCAGCCGCGGUAAUACGGAGGAUGCGAGCGUUAUCCGGAUUUAUUAGGUUUAAAGGGUGCGUAGGCUGGGCAAUAAGUCAGUGGUGAAAGUCCGCGGCUCAACCGUGGGAUUGCCAUUGAAACUGUUGUUCUUGAGUACAGUCGAGGUAGGCGGAAUGUGUAAUGUAGCGGUGAAAUGCAUAGAUAUUACCCAGAACACCGAUUGCGUAGGCAGCUUACCAGCCUGGAACUGACGCUGAUGCACGAAAGCGUGGGGAGCGAACAGGAUUAGAUACCCUGGUAGUCCACGCCGUAAACGAUGAUCACUCGCUGUUGGCAAUAUAGAGUCAGCGGCUGAGCGAAAGCAUUAAGUGAUCCACCUGGGGAGUACGUCGGCAACGAUGAAACUCAAAGGAAUUGACGGGGGCCCGCACAAGCGGUGGAACAUGUGGUUUAAUUCGAUGAUACGCGAGGAACCUUACCUGGGCUUAAAUGUAGCCGGACGAUUCCGGAAACGGGAUUUCCUUAACGGCUGGUUACAAGGUGCUGCAUGGCUGUCGUCAGCUCGUGCCGUGAGGUGUCGGGUUAAGUCCCAUAAUGAGCGCAACCAUUAUUGUUAUUUGCCAGCGGGUAGAGCCGAGGACUCUAAGGAGACU